rnacentral:rRNA from 1 species
ACGGGGUGCAGCAGGCGCGAAAACUUCGCAAUGUGGGAAACCACGACGAGGGGAGUCCAAGUGCUUGCACAAUGUGUAGGCUGUUUCCGUGCCUAAAAAGCACGGAGAGUAAGGGCUGGGUAAGACGGGUGCCAGCCGCCGCGGUAAUACCCGCAGCCCGAGUGGUGGUCGCUAUUAUUGGGCCUAAAACGUCCGUAGCCCGCCCGGUAAAUUCUUGGGGAAAUCGGUCAGCUUAACUGACCGAAGUCCGAGGAGACUGCCGGGCUUGGGACUGGGUGAGGUCAGAGGUACUUCAGGGGUAGGGGUAAAAUCCUGUAAUCCUUGAAGGACCACCAGUGGCGAAGGCGUCUGACUAGAACGGAUCCGACGGUAAGGGACGAAGCCCUGGGGCACAAACGGGAUUAGAUACCCCGGUAGUCCAGGGUGUAAACGCUGUGGGCUUGGUGUUGGGAGUCCUACGAGGGCGCCCAGUGCCGGAGAGAAGUUGUUAAGCCUACUGCCUGGG